ACGGCGAGUGAAGCGGCAAAAGCUCAAAUUUGAAAUCUGGCCCUUUCAGGGUCCGAGUUGUAAUUUGUAGAGGAUGCUUCGGGAGCGGCGGCGGUCUAAGUCCCCUGGAACGGGGCGUCAUAGAGGGUGAGAAUCCCGUAUGUGGCUAGAGACUUUAACCAUGUAAAGUUCCUUCGACGAGUCGAGUUGUUUGGGAAUGCAGCUCUAAAUGGGAGGUAAAUUUCUUCUAAAGCUAAAUAUUGGCCAGAGACCGAUAGCGAACAAGUAGAGUGAUCGAAAGAUGAAAAGCACUUUGGAAAGAGAGUUAAAUAGUAUGUGAAAUUGUUGAAAGGGAAGCGCUUGUAAUCAGACUUGUUUAUAGGAGUUCAACUUGGCUUCUGUCUUGUGUACUCUCCUAUAUACAGGCUAGCAUCAGUUUGGAUGGUAGGAUAAAGAUGUUAGGAAUGUGGCUUCAUCGCUUCGGUGGUGAAGUGUUAUAGCCUAAUGUGUCAUACUAUCAAUCUGGACUGAGGAACGCACUU
rnacentral:rRNA from 1 species